rnacentral:rRNA from 1 species
UAGUCUGCAACUCGACUACAUGAAGCUGGAAUCGCUAGUAAUCGCGGAUCAGAAUGCCGCGGUGAAUACGUUCCCGGGUCUUGUACACACCGCCCGUCACACCAUGGGAGUCGAUAACGCCCGAAGUCAGUGACCCAACCUGUAAGGAGGGAGCUGCCGAAGGCGGGAUUGAUAACUGGGGUGAAGUCGUAACAAGGUACC